AACAGUCAAAAAUGAUGGAGUUCCCGUCGUGGCUCAGCCGAAGUGAAUCUGACUAGUAUCCAGGAGGACACAGGUUCCUGUUGCAUGUAAAUCUUGUCCCUGUGGUUAUGUAUUUAUUAAGAGGAAACCUCUAAAAAUAAAACACUCAGAGAAGUCAUCACCUUUUACAGGUAUUGGCAUAUUCCCAAGGAUCUGUACUGUUCUAGGGUGUGAUAGAUUAGGAGUGAAUAUGAUUUGAACUUAAUGCAUGUUCAGAAGAUGUCUAAAAUUCAGAACCAGGCGGAUCCAUCUCUUCUGACCCUAGAGGUAAUCUUAUGUAAAGCGAACUGCUUGAGUAAAUUGGGUCCCAAAGGUUACAGGUAGGAAAGUUUGAAGUGUGUCCAUGUUCCAUUUGAGAUCAAAGAAGGCUGACUAAAAGAACUGUGGGCUACCUUUGAAGAUAACGACUCAAAAGUUGGAAUGACUCAAAAACACUGGAGAAAGCAGUGGAAAGAGAAUACUUAAAAGUUUAUUGACUUGGAGUUCCUGUCGAGGUGCAGCGGAAACGAAUCCGACUAGGAACCAUGAGGUUGCGGGUUUGAUCCCUGCCCUUGCUCAGUGGGUUAACGAUCCGGCAUUGCCGUGAGCUGUGGUGUAGGUGGCAGACAUGGCUCAGAUCCCGCGUUGCUAUGGCUCUGGCGUAGGCUGGUGGCUACAGCUCUGACUCAAUCCUUAGCCUGGGAACCUCCAUAUGCCAAGGGUGUGGCCCUAGAAAAAGCAAAA